rnacentral:rRNA from 1 species
UACGUAGGGUGCGAGCGUUUGUCCGGAAUUAUUGGGCGUAAAGAGCUCGUAGGCGGUGUGUCGCGUCGGCCGUGAAAACCUGCAGCUUAACUGUGGGCUUGCGGUCGAUACGGGCAUCACUGGAGUUCGGCAGGGAAGACUGGAAUUCCUGGUGUAGCGGUGAAAUGCGCAGACUAUCAGGAGGGAACACCGGUGGGCGAAGGCGGGAUCUCUGGGCCG